rnacentral:rRNA from 1 species
GACGAACCGUGCGAACGUUGUUCGGAAUCACUGGGCUUAAAGGGCGCGUAGGCGGUCGACCAAGUCCGGGGUGAAAUCUUUCGGCUUAACCGGAAAAGUGCCUUGGAUACUGGCCGGCUGGAGGGAGGUAGGGGCAGGUGGAACUUCCAGUGGAGCGGUGAAAUGCGCAGAUAUCAGGAGGAACACCGAUGGCGAAGGCAGCUCGCUGGGACGGUACUGACGCUGAGGCGCGAAAGCGUGGGGAGCAAACAGG